rnacentral:lncRNA from 1 species
AUUUCUUUUUCCUGGCCUUCUAAUCAAGAUUACUGCUUGGAAAAAGACAUUGAAACUCCUUCAAUUUAAGAGACUACAUGCCUGUAAUUGAUGUUAUCUUAGUGUGUUGCUGGAUUCCUCUACUAUGUAGUAUUUUUACCCCAUUAGUAGUGCACCUUUUAAUGUUGGCAGUCUGGGGCAAAGAUGGGCUUUUUAAAAAAAUUUAGAACCAGGUUUUUUUUCAUAAUAUCUUAAGUGAAAGUUACACAAAUACACAGUAUAUGAAAAUCACUUUCUGAGCUAAAGCAGUAGCAUUGUGACCAUUUUUUCCUCCUUUACAGAUACUUUGCAAAAGACUUAAUUUGGCAUUUUAUUUUGUUUCACUUUUUUUGGGGGGGGGUACCAGGGAUCCAACACAGGACCUUACGCUUGCAAGGCAGCCAGCAGAACCACUGAGCUAAAUCCCUGACCCUCACUUCACUUUAUUUUUAAAUAGCACCAAUCUUAUUUCUUUUUCUCUUGAAAAUAAAAGGGACAAGCAUGGGUUUCUUAUGACUACAGAGUGAGGAGUGCCACCCUGGUGAUGUCUUCUAAGUUUCCCUUCUCAGCACCAUCUGAGGGUUAAGCUCUUGAAGAAAGACAUACGGAUUUUUUAAAAAGGGAAAAUCAGUUUGACUACUGCAUAUUCUGAAAUAGAAACAUGCAACUAUUAGGUACUGCUAAACUCAUUGGAAGUAAACUGAUCUAGAAGAAUUUCCCAUAUCUGAGCCAUUUUUCAAUGUGUAGGAUUACAGCAGCAUGGACAGUUUCAGAGAGAGAGAAGAUUAUCUUGAAGAUAUUCUUUCUGAAGGUGUUACACAGAUCCUUAGUCAAGUGUUUCUUUAGAAAUAUGUGAUAGAGAUCAUCAAGAAUUCCAUUUAAGAGUUUCUAGGUGAAACCAUCUCCUCCAGUUUCAGACACUUAUGGGUCAUUGUCAUCAUCACCACAUUUGCACUGAAGAGCCGUCAACACUCUAUUUUCAAGCACAUGAGCUUUUAAGAAGCCUGUGUCCCCAGAUAAAUCUGAAAGAGAACUUGGUAACUAUGAUAUCGAUUGGGAUAUGAUGAGUUCACAGUAUUUCAACUUCUUCCACAGUUAUUUCACAAAAACAGGUGCGCAGUGUUAGGAUUGGUGGCGCUCUUCCGACAAAGUCACGUGGGAAAGGGAUACUGUCAAUGCCACUCUGCAGAGGUAGCAGGAAGCACUGCUUGCCACCAGCCACAGGAGCUCUCUCACUCUUAGAAAUGUUGUGGAGCUGCACAGAGGAAGAAUAUCAGUGUCAACAGAUGUGGUGAUCUACCAGUAGGACUCUUGGAACCCGUAACAAUGCAUAUGGAUCUCUUGGGUGGCCUUUUCUCCUGUCUCUGUGAAGCCAUUUCACAUCCUAGGCAAAAUUACAGACAAUGUUAACUGUUAUUUUCUAACUAAAAUUAUGUGGGUUGUUGGACAUUGAAUUUCGAUUGUAGUUUACCCACACUUCACUUUGGCCCCCGCACUGUACCUACUGUGAUAUUUUCUUUCUCAUGUUGAGUCCAGCCUGCAUUGCCUCCUUCAUAGUAAAAUCAGAGUUAAGGGGAGAAAUUAGUGAAUGUGCAACUGGGUCACAGCUUUAAACCUCAAGAAUUCAUACAAAUAAAUCAC